UCAAAAGCCAUGAUAGGGAUAAGUAAACAUUUGAUACUUUACAGAGAGUGGGGUUGCUGAGAGCCCAUGAGUUAUUUUUUGUUGAACCUCACCCUGGAGCUGCAAGCUGAAAUUAAUAGUAAGCUGUGCCGGCCUAGCCGUUAUUCAAAUAAGUUAUAAAUAUGGGUGGUACCGCGAUAGACUUCUCGCCCCAGAG
rnacentral:ncRNA from 1 species